rnacentral:rRNA from 1 species
GACGAACCGUGCGAACGUUGUUCGGAAUCACUGGGCUUAAAGGGCGCGUAGGCGGACUGCCAAGUCCGGGGUGAAAUCUUUCGGCUUAACCGGAAAAUAGCCUCGGAGACUGGCGGUCUAGAGGGAGGUAGGGGCAGCUGGAACUUCCGGUGGAGCGGUGAAAUGCGUUGAUAUCGGAAGGAACGCCGGUGGCGAAAGCGAGCUGCUGGACCUCUACUGACGCUGAGGCGCGAAAGCCAGGGGAGCAAACGGG